CGACCAACGGUUUCAGGACGCGAAUGCGCCUGCGCGCGACAAGGAGGCUUAUCCUCGCGCUUUGCCAUAUUCCCUCAAGUGAAAAUCCGGACAGAUAUGUUGAGAUUUUUUUUGGGGGGGGGGAACAGCUCCUCCAACCCAAAAAGAAAGAAAGAAGAAGUUUGGGGGCCUUUUCGGAUUUUUAAAGGGUUAUUUUCAAAAGAAAAAAAGAAAAUAAACCCCCUUGUCAUAUGUCCGGGUUUUGCCGAUUCCGCAAAAAGCGCCCCAUUUCCCUGCCCGAUUUGCAGACGCGACAGGGAAAACCCGGACGAAUGGCAGCCGUAGUUUGGAGUGCGGCUGCUGCGCCUUGCUCCUUAAAGUGGCUGGGCAGGAGCUUUAUGGAAGAGAGAGAUGAAUUAUUAUGAUUAUGUGGCUUAUUGAAUUUAUACAGCACCACCCUUCACCCAAACUUGGCAGGGAGCGAUUUACAGCGCAAGAAAGUAGGAAAAGCGCAGAAUACAGAGAGGAGAAAUGCCAGCUCGCAAUCUUUUCUAAAUAAAUUGAAUAAAACCGCUUAACCCACUGAAAGAUAUAUUUGAAAAAUGCAUGUUAAGGGGAACAAUGCCUAUUGUUAAGUCUGAUAGCUACAGUAACAGGGUGAUGUCCUCCAUUGAGACAUGUCCCCCUGCUGAGUGACUUGGCUGAGAAUUUGGGAAGAGCAACUAUUUGAGGAUAGUUCAAAGAAAUGAGGUUGUUUACAUGAAUUGUGUCUUCUGAAAAAUGAAAAUUUCUUCAUCUCGCCUGUAAGAUUCGGAGCUCUUCUUCUUUCCACAGUCUGCUUCUUUUGCUACCCCUUAAGAUUUAGAAACAUAGGGAAUCAGGUCAUGGUUAGAUUUAUUUUUGAAGAUUGUCCUCAAGGCCAUCUUAGAUGCUCUGAGGGAGAUGGCUUGCCUUCCCCCUUGUGGGCAUCAUCACAAGAAGAGCAUCUCCCAAUUUUGGCGGGUCCUUUGACAAGAUCCCCCCUUCUAUGGGUUCAACUGCUUGCUGUACUCUCCAACAGAGGUUUCUGAAAGUAGGUUUAGUUGCCAGGUGCUCCAAAUUCAGCACAGAGAUAUAGAGUAUCAAGGAAGUAUCUAGAACCCAUUUCCUGAUUAUUUCCCCUCUUCUUCCCUAGGUAUCAAAGGCUACAUGGGCUGCUGGUCUCCCGUUGUCACAUGCCAAAGAUCCAUCCCCUGGUCUGUGAGGAGGAGGAGGUAGAAAUGUCGCCACAUCAAUGGGAUGUAAUUAAAAAUGAGAAGGAGGAGUUAAUGAAGAUAAGACCCAUAUACGUAUGACUGUAUAACCAGUGAAUGAAUGUGACUGAUGCCAAUAUGGAUAGUGAGUGUUGAUCUUUGUUCAUGAGGAACCGGGAGGCCAGAGAGAAUCUGGCUGCGGGGUGGGGUGGGGGGGCAGCUCCUUGAUUCAAGAAGAGUUCAGCAAUGGAAUGAGGAAUGAGGAAGGAAGACAGGUAGGCUAAUGUAAGCCACCUUGAGAUUGUUGCAGAAAGAUGGGUUAUCAACAUAAUAAAUGAAAAUGAUUCUUAAUAUUUUCAUUUAUUAUUAUGUUGAUAACCCAUCUUUCUGGGUUUCUUUUUUUAUAUAUAAUAAUUUUUAUUAACCGGCCAAUCAAAUCAAAUUAAAUCACAUCACAUAAAUUCUGAAUUACAAAGCCGAAUUUUAAAUUUUGUUGGGGGGACCCAUAUUUCAAGAUCCGAAGGGGGAUUCUGAUCAUCUUCUUGCUACUGCGUUAAUGUCCAAAUCAGUCCAAAUCAGUAUCUUUCUAGGUUUCUCGUCUUUUCUCUUCCAGGCAGCGACAGCAGUGAGGCCCGCAACUCCAAUACAGCUCUCCUCCCACCAAGACCCAGUUCUAUGGUAUAGAUAUAUACCAUAGAUUCCGGCGUAUUAGCCGCCUGGGCAUAUUAGUCUUAUAAGCCCAGUUGCCUAAUACGCUGGGCAGCUCCGUGCCGGGAGAAGGCCGCCCGGCACGGAGCGGAGCCCGCUGACCCUGCUGCUGCUGCCACUCUCUCCCGGUGCGGAGCAGAGGCCGCCGCCGCAGCAGCCGGGGGGGGGGGGCGGAUAUCCGGCGUAUAAGGCGACCCCCGACUUUUUAACCUCUUUUUCGGGGUUAAAAAGUCGUCUUAUAGGCCGGAAUUUACAGUAUUUAAAAAACACCAUGAGUCUCCAGUGUGGUCCCUUAGCUUACUUGUCCAAUAAUGGAAAGAAGAAGUCCCAGAAUGGAUAGCAAAUCUUAUGAAAUAUGCAGAAAUGGCAAAACCCACUGCUUACAAACUGCUUACAAAAGAAUGGAAAUAUUUACAAAUAAACUGUAAACAGAUAAGAACAUUGUAAUAACCUGCAGUUUUAUAAGAGUAUAUUUAAAGUAGAUGAAUAAAUGAGCAAAUUAAGUUAAUUUGGCUAUGCAGGGGAAAAAAUAUAAAAUAUUAAGUGACAGAAAGAGGGGAACGGAAGUUGAAUUUUGAAAUGUUAAAAUGAUUGUAAAGUUAUUGAAAUGUAUAAAACUGAAAAUCAUAAUAAAAAAGUAAUGUCCUCCUGGACAUUUUUGUCCUCCAGGAAAAAAGCCACAAGUGGGGUCCUGGGCCCAUUGCUCUUCAAUGGCUUUAUAAAUGACUCGAAUGAAGGAGUUGAUCAUCAAAUUUUCAGAUGACACCAAACUGGGAGGGGUAUCUAUUGCUGCAGAAGAUAGAAUCAGAAUUCAAAAUGACCCUAACAGAUUGGAGAAUUGAGCACAAGCUAACAAAAUGAAUUUCAACAGGGACAAAUGUAAGGUUUUGCAUUUAGGCAGGAAGAACCAGAUUCACAAAUAUAGGAUGGGGCACAGCUGGCUUACUAGCAGUAAAAGUGAAAAGGAUCCAAGGGUCUUGGUGGACCACAAGCUUAACAUGAGUCAAUGGUGUGAUGCAGCAGCAAAAAAAGCUAAUGCUAUUCUAGGCUGCAUCAACAGAAGUAUAAUGUCCAGAUCAAUGGAAGUAAUAGUACCGCUCCAAUUCUUUUGUGAAUGAAAUAAAAUGGUUUCAACUAGUUUUUAAUAGCCAAUAAUCAAAUGUAGAGCUUGGGGUACAUCUAAACAAGGCUUAGAUCAACUCCCCAGAUGUUCAGUGUCCAGGGGUUCAAUACCUGGCACCCAGAAACUCAUGAAACGGGGGAAUCUGGCACUCACAGACUCAUAACAUUUCACUUCCUUGCAACCUAAGGAAAGCUGUUUAUUGGCAGAAGACACUGGGCAGAAAAAGAAAGAAACGGGGAUGAGGAGGUCUAAGGGUGCAGUCUCGCUCCUAGCAACAAGUCAUAGGAAAUAUCUCCCAUUUUGUAAACUACUUUGAAGGUGGUGGUUGCUUUAUAAUCCAGCGGCAGAGAAAUUUUAUGAAAUUAAUUGAUUUGGGCUCCUCCAAACCACUUGGAGGAAGGAAUGGAGGGGGUGUUAAUCAAAUCUGCAGAUGACACCAAACUGGGAGGGGUAGCUAAUGCCGCAGAAGACAGAAUUGGGCAGCAAGAACCAGAUGCACAAAUAGAAGAUGGGGGACACCUGGCUUACUAGCGGUACAUGUGAAAGGGAUCUAGGGGUCUUGGUGGACCACAAGCUUAACAUGAGUCCACAGUGUGAUGCAACAGCAAAAGAAAAGAAAAAAAAAGGCUAAUGCUAUUCUAGGCUGCAUCAACAGAAGUCUAGUGUCCAGAUCAAGGGAAGUAAUAGUACCACUCUAUUCUGCCUUGGUCAGACCACGCUUGGGAGUCCUGUGUCCACUUUUGGGCACCACAACAUAAAAACACUGUUGACAAGCUUAAACUUGUGCAGAUAAGGGCAACCAAGAUGAUCAAGGGUCUGGAGAGCAAGCCACAUAAGGAACGGUUGGAGGAGCUGGGUAUGUUUAGCCUUGGAAAAGAGGAGGCAGAGAGGAGAUACGAUAGCCACCGUCAAGUAUCUCAAGGGUUGUCACAUGGAAGAGGGAGCAAGCUUGUUUUCUCCUGCUCUGGAGGGUAGGACUAAAACCCAUGGCUUCAAGUUACAAGAAAGGAGAUUCCAACUAAACAUCAGGAAGAACUUUCUGACAUUAAGAGCUGCUUGACAGUGGAACGGUCGCCGUUUGUAGGUGGUGGACUCUCCUUCCUUGGAGGUUUUUAAGCAGAGGUUGGGUGACAAUCUGUCAUGCAUGCUUUAGCUGAGAUUCCUGCAUUGCAGGGGGUUGGACUAGAUGACCCUUGGGAUCCCUGCCAACUCUACAAUUCUAUGAUUCUAUGCCAUGAAGAAUCCAGAAUAGAACUAUAUGGAUAGAAAAAGCUUAAUUCUCAGUGACUGAGUUGCAAGGAGGUUUCGCCUCCACUCCAAUGGUUUGUCUUAAUGUAUCUCUUUGCGUUCCCCUAUUCAAGUGAACGUUUACCAUUCUUGUUCUGCCUUUUGUCAGUAUACAGGGAUCUCCCUCACAGGGAUCUAGAAGCAGGAACCACUCUUGCUACACAAAUACACAUACACACACCUAAUGAUGGGUGUUUUGCUAAUAGAUGGACAGACAGACAACAGGCAGCGGCAGCUUAGCUCCAAAGCCUGAAGACUUCAUCUUCCGUGCAAUGUUGGAGACCAAGAACCUGCUUUCAUACCACUCUGUAACAGCAGGGUUUGAUCUCCCCUAAAUUGGUUAUAGAGACAUUGGAUUAGCAAUUUUGAGGUAGUAAGGAUGGAAGAUAAAACAAAGUGUGACAGGCUAAGCAGCCUCUGUCACUGGGAUUGAUCAUAGAGCUAAUAUCCAGUGACAAUAGCGCAUAAAUAACACAAUAACCCAGCUUUGGAUAUUGGCACUAUCACAGCCCUUUAACCUAGCAAUAACUCAUUGGGAAAGCGUAAUCGUAUCAGAGGCACUGCACAACGGCUCUUCUCCCACCUGCCACUUCUGUAAGGUGCUGAAGCCAGACCACUGGCAGGUGUAGAAGUAACUGCAUUAGCUCCUUUGGGGAAUUUUUUAAGAGGUUCCGGUGAGCUGAAAGUACACUGCUUAUCUGAAAGCACUGCACCAAGGAAAGCAAGCAUGGGUUGUGAGCUCUCUCAGAGAGCGCAUGUCAGAAUAUCUAUGUCUCCUGUCAAUUCUUGCCAUUUCACAGCGGAAGCUCUUCUGUUGGUCAAAGUAGCCCUCCCAGCACCUCCAGAGCCAUAACCCAAUCUUUCUCCUGUCACAAUCAUUAAUACAUUUUUCACUGACUCAAAGGCUUUUUAAAUGCUUUGCCCACCUCUUCUUAGCCAAUCAAAAAUAAUCACAGCCAGCAGGUCCCACCCCUGUCUCCAGUAUCUCCAUCCCACAGGAGCGGCUUUGGUAGGAAGGUGGAGUCUUUUGCUCAUUCCCCUCCCUUCUCUUCCUCUUUAAGGAACCAAAGAGAGAGAGAUAAACAAGCUAAGCUUUUAUAAGAAGGGUGGGGUAGGGCACUGUUAGCCAUCCCUGUCAGACAAUCCAUACUAAGCUUAUUUUACAAUUUUUUGACCAGUGUCUGGUGACUUCUAUAUUUAAAAAUAUUUAGGGGGGAAACUGAAUUUGACAACUUUGUGUAAUUUAGAUUGAGUUGCAGGAGGAAAGUUCAAGCACGGUGUUUCAGAUUCUGAGUGAUUGUCAGUCCAGGCACUCAAUCACCCAAAUGUUGUCUGACAUCAAGGUCUCCAAGUCGGAGAAAACCAGAGUGAUGUCAUCAGCAAACUUACUAAGCUUGUGGGCCAUGCCAUUUAUUUUAAUACCUUUAAUACGAUAAUUUGCCUAACACUGUUUUACCACUGGUUUGAUUGCUGAAAUGAAAAGCUGGGGUGAUAAAGGCACCCCUCUUUGGACCUGAAAUCUGGUCAAAUAUUGGUCAUUCUGCACCACCUCCUUAAGGUACCAUGAAUCUAAGCUUCGGUGAAUGUGUGUGACUGUUGGAGAAAGGGAGGGGUCAGCUCGUUCUGUUUUACAAUAAUGAAGCUGUGAACCUAAUAGGCAUUAAUUGGCGGGGAUUGUGAGGGAGACUCUGCUGGCUGGAAGCAUAUGGAAGCAGCAAACUGGAACUGGUGACUGACAGUUAGAACCUGUGGUGCUCUCAUAAUUCCAACAGCAGAUCUGUGAUGGAUGUGUCGGCUUCCCACUGCUCUGCCUUUCAGGCAGAUAGACCUGCAUCACUUCUGUUACCAGCUGCAUCCUGAAAGGGAGAAAGACAAAAUAGAAGGAGAGGAAUGGCAGAGGAGGAGCUAUUCUCUAAACUACCGUGCAUAAUUUUUUCAAAAUGUGUUAAAUCUCUAUGCCCUUGGUCCAUAUUAUUAAAGUGUUCAACUGGUAUCAAUACAACCACCCGAAACUCUUAUUUUUUUGGAUUAGUUUUCCAUGCAUCUCUCGGUCUGGGUUGUGUAUUUAUGUAGUAAUCCUUCUUCAGUGCAUCUGUGUUUAUGUUCCUAUCAUUUUGAUAGAAGUCUGGAGAUCUGUGGAUCGGUGUCAGAGGGGAGAUUUCUGGCAAUAAACUACCUUUCCUAUGAUGCCAGACCUUCAGUGCAGUAUUGAUGGUAUAGUGGAUUUUUUUAUUUGCUAUGUUUUCCUUUUUAUUAAAAUGAAUGCC
rnacentral:lncRNA from 1 species